GACGAACGCUGGCGGCGUGCUUAACACAUGCAAGUCGAACGAUGAAGCUAGAGCUUGCUCUGGUGGAUUAGUGGCGAACGGGUGAGUAACACAUGAGUAACCUGCCCUUGACUCUGGGAUAACUGCUAGAAAUGGUAGCUAAUACCGGAUACGACCCUCGGAGGCAUCUCCAGGGGGUGGAAAGAAUUUCGGUCAAGGAUGGACUCGCGGCCUAUCAGCUAGUUGGUGAGGUAACGGCUCACCAAGGCGACGACGGGUAGCCGGCCUGAGAGGGUGACCGGCCACGCUGGGACUGAAACACGGCCCAGACUCCUACGGGAGGCAGCAGUGGGGAAUAUUGCACAAUGGGCGCAAGCCUGAUGCAGCAACGCCGCGUGAGGGAUGACGGCCUUCGGGUUGUAAACCUCUUUUAGUAGGGAAGAAGCGAAAGUGACGGUACCUGCAGAAAAAGCACCGGCUAACUACGUGCCAGCCGCCGCAGUAA
rnacentral:rRNA from 1 species